rnacentral:lncRNA from 1 species
AUGACGCGCAGCAUCCCCUUGCUAGCCGUGUGGGUAGGCUGUCUUGGCAGUGGGUUUGCCAGCCCUAGCCAAGCUGCCACAUGGAACAGAAAUGACUUGCUCUGUCGAACCUGCCCCAACUGUAGGUGCACCAAUAAGGCCGCCCCGGGCAAGACCCCUUGCAGCUGUCCUACCCCUCCCUGCAGCCACUGCACACGUCAGCGGGCCUCAAAGAAGGAAAACACAUCAGGGCUACGUAGAGAAACACGUUCCUGCUCAAAAGGACAGCAGGUCUGGCUCUGCCCUCCUCCGCCCCCUCACCCUCAGGCCCCCUCUUCCAAGCUGGCCAGCACAGAAGGGGGCUCUGCCGGGGAAGGGCAAGCCCCAACGUGCAGAUGGCUUGCAACACGGACAGCCUUGAGAUGCGGGCAGCGGGAAAUCCCGAGGAGCCCUUUCUGGGGGCUGCGGGCGCGGAGCCCGGAGGGAACGCGCGCGGGUCCUGGCGCUGCCCUGGAACGCGCUGACUCACGCGCUGGUACGUGAGCCGCGCGCCGACCGCCAUGGGCUGGGCCGGACAGCCCUGCGGCCAAUGCCGUCCUCGCGGACGCGGGUAUUUUGUUUAUUCCAGGGCCGGCGCCAAGCGUCUGGCCCCGGGCCCCAACCCGGGCGCGCCCAGGCAGGACUUUAGCCCCAACCCAGCCAAGGCUGCCUUACUAGUAGGCGAUUUUGAUGCCUUUACAGCUUAAGGGCUACAGCGGGCGUUGUGAUCUUCUAUCGGUAGUGAUCCCACCGGAGUCCCGGGGUUGUGGUGGUGGUGGGAGGGUGUCUGCCCGGGACACCGUGGCUCCUGGGGGAGCCUUCCUUGGUCACAGGAUACAGGGGUGGGGUGGGGGUAGGAGGUGGUGGGCUGUGAGAGCUGCACCGUGCGUCCCUGGAAAGCUGUGUCACUUGUUUGCUCAUUUCGGGGAAGCCUUGGAGAAGCGGUUUCUAUGGAGGCACUGUGAACGAACGGGAGGUUAAUUCAUAUGGAAAUUCUGUCCUUGGACACCUAGGUUACAGGAGCGAGAUCCUAUGCACAGAGCUAAGCCAUUUGUAGAGUUUGGCCUAUUUGGGAGAUAGUGUUGCUCUGAUUUUUUUAAGGGGGGCGGGGCUUUCCCUGAAUCCCUUGGAAACACAAUAAACCCAGAUGGGUGAGCCUUGGCUUGGGAUGC